UACGUAGGUGGCAAGCGUUGUCCAGAAUUAUUGGGCGUAAAGCGCGCGCAGGCGGUCCUUUAAGUCUGAUGUGAAAGCCCACGGCUCAACCGUGGAGGGUCAUUGGAAACUGGGGGACUUGAGUGCAGAAGAGGAAAGCGGAAUUCCACGUGUAGCGGUGAAAUGCGUAGAGAUGUGGAGGAACACCAGUGGCGAAGGCGGCUUUCUGGUCUGUAACUGACGCUGAGGCGCGAAAGCGUGGGGAGCAAACAGG
rnacentral:rRNA from 1 species